CCUACGGGUGGCAGCAGUGAGGAAUAUUGCACAAUGGGGGAAACCCUGAUGCAGCGACGCCGCGUGAGCGAUGAAGUAUUUCGGUAUGUAAAGCUCUAUCAGCAGGGAAGAAAAUGACGGUACCUGACUAAGAAGCCCCGGCUAACUACGUGCCAGCAGCCGCGGUAAUACGUAGGGGGCAAGCGUUAUCCGGAUUUACUGGGUGUAAAGGGAGCGUAGACGGCGGUGCAAGCCAGAUGUGAAAGCCUGGGGCUCAACCCCGGGACUGCAUUUGGAACUGUGCUGCUAGAGUGUCGGAGAGGCAGGCGGAAUUCCUAGUGUAGCGGUGAAAUGCGUAGAUAUUAGGAGGAACACCAGUGGCGAAGGCGGCUCACUGGACUGCAACUGACACUGAGGCUCGAAAGUGUGGGUAUCAAACAGGAUUAGAUACCCCAGUAGUC
rnacentral:rRNA from 1 species